GAUGAACGCUGGCGGUGUGCCUUAUACAUGCAUGUCGAACGAGGCGUAGCAAUACGUCUAGUGGCAAAUGGGUGAGUAAUAAAUAGGUAACCAACCCUUAAGACGGGGAUACCCCAUCGAAAGAUGGAAUAAUACCCGAUAAUGUCCCUUCCGGUGCGCUGGAGGGGAAGAAAGAUGGCGCAAGCUAUCACUUUUGGACGGGCUUAUUUCCUAUCAGCUAGUUGGUGAGGUAACGGCUUACCAAGGCUACGACGGGUAGCUGGUCUGAGAGGACGGUCAGCCACAUUGGGACUGCGACACGGCCCAGACUCCUACGGGAGGCAGCAGUCGGGAAUAUUCGGCCAAUGCGCGAAAGCGUGACCGAGCGACACCGCGUGGGCGACGAAGAUCUUAGGAUUGUAAAGCCCUUUUGCCAGGGAAGAAUACGCUGGAGACAAUAUCAAUAGCGUUUGACGGUACCUGGCGAAUAAGCCGCAGCAAACUACGUGCCAGCAGCCGAC
rnacentral:rRNA from 1 species